rnacentral:siRNA from 1 species
UCAAAGAGUGCUUGAAAUUGUC